UCUAGCCUUAUCGGUGGAUCACUCGGCUCGUGGAUCGAUGAAGAACGCAGCAAACUGCGAUAAUUUGUGCGAACCGCAGAAACCAUGAGCACAAAAGUUUUGAACGUAUAUUGCCGCAUUGGGGUCAAACUCUUUGCUACGUCUGGUUCAGGGUCAUUUUCUUUCAAAGCGUGAGCUUUUAUUUCUAUAUUGCUAUUGAUGCUUUAUAUUUUAAGAGGAUUGUUGUUUAUCCUAAUUGUAUGAAUCUAACUACAAAAAUCAAACAAUUUUGACCUGAACUCAGUCGAGAGCACCCGCUGAACUUAAGCAUAUCAGUAAGCGGAGGAAAAGAAACUAAACAGGAUUCCCCAGUAACGGCGAGUGAACAGGGAAAUGUCCAUCGCUAAAUCAUUUUGCCUCAGGCAUUAUGAAGUGUAGCGUAUAAGCCGUAAUCUUUUAUCUUUUAUUUCAAACAAGUUCCCUUGACAGGGGUUCCACAGAAGGUGCAAGUCCUGUACAUUGAGAUAAUUGAUCGAUAUUUGCGUGCUUUAGAGUCGGGUUGUUUGGGAUCGCAGCCCAAAGUCGGUGGUAAACUUCAUCUAAGACUCAAUAUUGCCACGAGACCGAUAGCAAACAAGUACUGUGAAGGAAAGUUGCAAAGCACUUUGAAGAGAGAGUUAAAGAGGACGUGAAACCGGUGAGGUGGAAACGGAUAGAGUCGGCGUAUCUUUCAAGUAUUCAUUUACUUUAUUUUUAUGUUGUGAUCUCUGAGCUCCAGAUUGGGACAGAGGGAAGCAGCAUAAUUUUCUGUGAUGCAUUUACUUGUUUGGUGCUUGGGGAUGUUUGAGGCAGAUUUGUAUCCGCAGUUUUGAGGCCAGCUUGCUGGUACCCAAACGGUGUUAGCAUUUUUUGUCUUGGACAUUUGAGUAUGGCUUACGGUCAUUUAUCGGUUCGAUCUGGGUGUAAGUUACGGUCGCAUGCGACACGUGCUUUUCAAUUAGUUCGGUCCAGUUAAUGCUCUCGUACUCCUUCCCCAUGUAAAAGCCGGUCAUCUAUCCGACCCGUCUUGAAACACGGACCAAGGAGUUUAUCGUGUGCGCAAGUUUUGGGUGUUAAAAACCUAAAAGCGAAAUGAAAGUAAAUGGCUCUUUAGAGUCUGAUGUGCGAUCUUGUUAAAAAGUGCAGCAUGGCCCCAUUCUAACUGUUUACAGUAGGGUGGCGGAAGAGCGUACGCGGUGAGACCCGAAAGAUGGUGAACUAUUCCUGAGCAGGACGAAGCCAGAGGAAACUCUGGUGGAAGUCCGAAGCGGUUCUGACGUGCAAAUCGAUCGUCUGACUUGGGUAUAGGGGCGAAAGACUAAUCGAACCAUCUAGUAGCUGGUUCCCUCUGAAGUUUCCCCAGGAUAGCUGGAGCUCACGAGUAGUUAUACUCGGUAAAGCGAAUGAUUAGAGGACUUGGGAACGAAAUGUUCUUAACCUAUUCUCAAACUCUAAAUGGGUAUGAUAUCAAAGUUGCUUGAUUUUGAACUUUGGCGUUGAAUACGAGCUCCAAGUGGGCCAUUUUUGGUAAGCAGAACUGGCGAUGUGGGAUGAACCAAACGCGGAGUUGCGGUGCCAAAGUGCCCGCUCAUUAGACCCCAUAAAAGGUGUUGGUUGAUACAGACAGCAGGACGGUGGCCAUGGAAGUCGGAAUCCGCUAAGGAGUGUGUAACAACUCACCUGCCGAAUCAACUAGCCCUGAAAAUGGAUGGCGCUGGAGCGGGCCACCUAUACUCUGCCGUCAUAUGCUUGUAUUUUUGAGUCUUGCAAUGACGUGUAAGAGGGUCGUAGUGGUUGCGUUGAAGGCUUUGGGUGUGCACCCAGCUGGAGCUUCCACUAGUGCAGAUCUUGGUGGUAGUAGCAAAUAUUCAAGUGAGAUCCUUGAAGACUGAAGUGGAGAAGGGUUCCACGUGAACAGCAGUUGAAUGUGGGUCAGUCGAUCCUAAGGCACCGGCUAAAGCCGUCUAGACACUGCGGGGAGAUGAGAUACUUAACGGUAUUUUGUCCACCCGGUUGCCGAAAGGGAAGUGGGUUAAUAUUCCCACACCAGGCAUGGGAGAUGGUGAUCCGCAAGGAUUACUUUGCGCGGUGACGCAAACGAACUCGUAGACCUCGUGUGGAGUCCGGGCCAGAGUUCUCUUUUCUGGUUUAGAGAUCAUAUCCCUGGAAGUGGCUCAGCCUGAGAUAGGGAUGCUGGUCUCGUAAAGCGCAGCGGUUCCUGUUGUGUCUCGUGUGCUCCACAUGAGCCGUGAAAAUGCGAGGGAGGCAAUUUAAAAUCUCCUGCCUGAUCGUACCCAUAUCCGCAGCAGGUCUCCAAGGUGAGCAGCCUCUAGUCGAUAGAAUAAUGUAGGUAAGGGAAGUCGGCAAAUUAGAUUCGUAACUUCGGGAAAAGAAUUGGCUCUAAAGGUUGGGUCAGUCGGGCUGUUGUGUGAAACAGGUGGACUUUGCUCGUGGCUGCUUGCGCUUCCUUUCGGGGCGUCGCUUGUGGACUAGUAGUGAGGACUGCUUGUGGAGCGCUUCAGCUGCGUGCUAUUUCGCAAGAUAUAGUACUUCGAUUGGCGCUGAACAACCAGUUUAGAACUGGCACGAACUCCGGGAAUCCGACUGUCUAAUUAAAACAGAGGAGACGGAUGGUCCUUGCAGGACGUUGACCGUGUCUGAUUUCUGCCCAGUGCUCUGAAUGUUAAGCCAAGGAAACUUGAUUAAGCGCGGGUAAACGGCGGGAGUAACUAUGACUCUCUUAAGGCUCUACCUGAGGAAGUGCAUGCAGGUAGAGAUGGCUGAUCCUUGGUGUAUCCUUGUAAAAGUGCCUCAAGUCCCUAUAGGCCAAGAACCUGUAUAAAAACACUUUGUGAGCUCUGACUCACAGCCUUCGGGUGAUGCUGUCAUCGGUGUGGCACGCUGAGGCCUGCCUGCAGGUAAUCCCAUGUUUACAUGUGCACGCUUACCUAAUCCUAUCUUCACUCGGUGGGCAAUGAGCUGGAAUUGACCCACCCGACCCAGGAGACUCGCCUGGGCGGCAUUUUGACGUUUGGGGAAGGAUUAGAAUCAAAAUCAAUGGAGCCUAUUAACCAAAAAAAACAGUGAGGUUUAUACCUGGACUUGUGAGCUCUAUCUUUGAAAGUACAGAUAGAGUUACGCAAAUCUCAGGUGGCAGUUUGGACCCUACACGCCCUACUAUGCUUAGCAAUAACAUAGAAGGAGCUGUAGAAGAUCCAAGCCAUUCGAUACGUGCCGAUCCCAAUGUGGAAGUACAGGGCGUUGUUGAACUGAGGGUUGAUAAUACCUCAGACUCAGCUUCACUCGUGAUACAAACCGCUGCUUGUGGAGUGACAGAGGAAAAUCCAGACGUCAGUAAUCUAGCUAUGCCCAAUACUGCUAGUAUACCACGAGUACCUACCGCUAGACGGAUAGGAGGGAAUAAGCAACUUUUAUGGUCUGAAAAAGACACAGAAACGCUUGUCAAACUGGUCCAAGAUAUUAAACUGAACCAGGGUAACUUG
rnacentral:rRNA from 1 species